rnacentral:rRNA from 1 species
GGCAUGUCGCGAGGUUAACCCGUGUGGGGUAGCCGUAGGGAAACCGAAUCCUAAUGGGGUGUCAAGUGGCAUGUCCUGGACCCGAAGCGGGGUGAUCUACCCAUGGCCAGUGUGAAGCAGCUGUAAGAGGUUGUGGAGGCGCGAACCCACGUAGGUUGAAAACUGCGGGGAUGAGCUGUGGGUAGGGGUGAAAGGCCAAUCAAACUCCGUGAUAGCUGGUUCUCCCCGAAAUGCAUUUAGGUGCAGCGUCGUAUUAUAGCUUGGUGGAGGUAGAGCGACUGGUUGGUUGAGCGGGACUACAAUCUUAGCAAUGUCAGCCAAACUCCGAAUGCCACUAAUUGUGUUGUACGGCAGUGAGACUGUGGGGGAUAAGCUUCAUAGUCGAGAGGGAAACAGCCCAGAUCGCCGGUUAAGGCCCCUAAGGGUGUACUAAGUGGAAAAGGAUGUGGGAUCGCGAAGACAGCCAGGAGGUUGGCUUAGAAGCAGCCAUCCUUGAAAGAGUGCGUAAUAGCUCACUGGUCGAGUGGUUCUGCGCCGACAAUUCAGUGGGGCUCAAGUACACCGCCGAAGCCGCGGCAAACAUUGUGUUUGGGUAGGGGAGCGUCGUGCAUGGGUGGAAGCGUUACCGUAAGGAGGCGUGGACUGUGUGCGAGUGAGAAUGCAGGCAUGAGUAACGAAUUGAUAGGUGAGAAUCCUAUCCGCCGGAUGACUAAGGGUUCCUGGGUCAAGUUCGUCUUCCCAGGGUGAGUCGGGACCUAAGGCGAGGCCGACAGGCGUAGUCGAUGGAUAACCAGUUGAUAUUCUGGUACCCGUACAUGCGCGCCCAUGAUGAAGCACUGAUACUAACCACCGCGGAUGCACUACCGGUCUUCUUUGAAGAUUGGUGGUGUUGAUGUCGUGGGGCCUGAUGUGUGGUUCAAGUGAUGGGGUGACGCAGUGAGGUAGCCACGCCACUUAUUGGAUUGGUGGUGUAAGCGUGUAGGCCGUGUGGUAGGUAAAUCCGCCGCACAUUGUGGUUGAGACGUGAUGCGUAGACCCUAAGCGGGUUGAUGGUGGUGAUCCUGUACUGUCGAGAAAAGCCUCUAGCGAUGUGUGUGUAUGGCCCGUACCCUAAACCGACACAGGUAGUCAGGUUGAAAAUACUAAGGCGUUCGGGUGAACUGUGGUUAAGGAAUUCGGCAAAAUGCCCCCGUAACUUCGGGAGAAGGGGGGCCUCACGACGUGAAGGCCCAAGCGGCUGGAAGCGUUGUGGGGUCGCAGAGAAUAGAGGGAAGCGACUGUUUAUCAAAAACACAGGUCCAUGCGAAGACGUGAAGUUGAUGUAUAUGGACUGACGCCUGCCCGGUGCUGGAAGGUUAAGAGGACCGGUUAGUAGUCUUUGACUGCGAAGCUGAGAAUUUAAGCCCCAGUAAACGGCGGUGGUAACUAUAACCAUCCUAAGGUAGCGAAAUUCCUUGUCGGGUAAGUUCCGACCUGCACGAAUGGCGUAACGACUUCUCUGCUGUCUCAACCACAGGCCCGGUGAAAUUGCACUACGAGUAAAGAUGCUCGUUACGCGCGGCAGGACGAAAAGACCCCGGGACCUUCACUAUAGCUUGGUAUUGGUGUUUGGUUCGGUUUGUGUAGGAUAGGUGGGAGACUUGGAAGCUAUCACGCUAGUGGUGGUGGAGUCGUUGUUGAAAUACCACUCUGAUCGGAUUGAGCAUCUAACCUUGGCCCAUGAUCUGGGUUGGGGACAGUGCCUGGUGGGUAGUUUAACUGGGGCGGUUGCCUCCCAAAAUGUAACGGAGGCGCCCAAAGGUUCCCUCAGCCUGGUUGGCAAUCAGGUGGUGAGUGUAAGUGCACAAGGGAGCUUGACUGUGAGACAGACAUGUCGAGCAGGGACGAAAGUCGGGACUAGUGAUCCGGCACCUACUUGUGGAUGUGGUGUCGCUCAACGGAUAAAAGGUACCCCGGGGAUAACAGGCUGAUCUUCCCCAAGAGUCCAUAUCGACGGGAUGGUUUGGCACCUCGAUGUCGGCUCGUCGCAUCCUGGGGCUGGAGUAGGUCCCAAGGGUUGGGCUGUUCGCCCAUUAAAGCGGCACGCGAGCUGGGUUCAGAACGUCGUGAGACAGUUCGGUCUCUAUCCGCCGCGCGCGUUGAAACUUGAAGAAAGCUGUCCCUAGUACGAGAGGACCGGGACGGACGUACCUCUAGUGUGCCAGUUAUCCCGCCAGGGGUAUCGCUGGUUGGCUACGUACGGAAGGGAUAACCGCUGAAAGCAUCUAAGCGGGAAGCCUGUUUUAAGAUGAGGUUUCGUUAAGGUCCCCUAAAGACGAUAGGGUAGAUAGGCCAGACCUGGAAGCACUGUAAGGUGUGAAGGCUACUGGUACUAAUUGACCACAACAAACACCAAC